rnacentral:rRNA from 1 species
UACAGAGGGUGCGAGCGUUGUCCGGAAUCACUGGGCGUAAAGCGUGCGCAGGCGGUGAUGUAAGACAGAUGUGAAAUCCCCGGGCUCAACCUGGGAACUGCAUUUGUGACUGCAUCGCUGGAGUGCGGCAGAGGGGGAUGGAAUUCCGCGUGUAGCAGUGAAAUGCGUAGAUAUGCGGAGGAACACCGAUGGCGAAGGCAAUCCCCUGGGCCUGCACUGACGCUCAUGCACGAAAGCGUGGGGAGCAACAGG